rfam:TPA: Bos taurus chromosome 9, whole genome shotgun sequence.
UCCUUGGUGUCUUAGAUGGUAAAGAACCCACCUGCAAUGUGGAAGAGCUGGGUUCAAUCCCUGGGUCAGGAA